rnacentral:rRNA from 1 species
ACAUUGGGACUGAGAUACGGCCCAGACUCCUACGGGAGGCAGCAGUGGGGAAUCUUGCGCAAUGGCCGAAAGGCUGACGCAGCGACGCCGCGUGGGGGAGGAAGCUUUUCGGAGUGUAAACCCCUGUCAGGAGGGACGAAGGUCCCGGGGAGGCAAUGCCCUGGGGAUGACGGUACCUCCAGAGGAAGCGCCGGCUAACUCCGUGCCAGCAGCCGCGGUAAUACGGAGGGCGCGAGCGUUGUUCGGAAUUAUUGGGCGUAAAGCGCACGUAGGCGGCUCGAUAAGUCUCACUGUGAAAGCCCGGGGCUCAACCCCGGGAGGCCAGGGGAUACUGUCGGGCUGGAGACAAGCAGAGGCUGGUAGAAUUCCGGGUGUAGCGGUGGAAUGCGUAGAGAUCCGGAGGAAUACCAGAGGCGAAGCGGCCAGCUGGGCUUGGUCUGACGCUGAGUGCGAAAGCGUGGGGAGCGAACAGAUAGAUACCCUGGUAGUCACGCCGUAAACGAUGGGCACUAAG